CCCAGGGUUUACACCCUGGGCUAGGUAGCUCCACUCCUUCGGAGUG
rfam:Bacterium K02(2017) isolate K02 NODE_23_length_10975_cov_6.62518, whole genome shotgun sequence.